GGUUAAAAUACCUUCACAGUUAUUUGCUUCCCUGUUAAUGAGUGUCAUCCACAGCUGCCAUGAGCAACUGUGCUCCCAGAUCUCUCCCAGAACUACAACCUGGUCAUUUGUCAGUAGCAGCUCUACUUGAAAAUAAGCACUGACUGGAAAAGCAGGGGUAACAAACUGAGAGCAAGAUAGUUAAAAAGGCAGGAGGAGAAAGAAUCUUGAUUUUUAGUUAAAAAAAAAAAAAAAAAAAAAAAGAAUGCUAGAAUGCUAGUAUACUGCAAGUCAAACACACAGGCUUUGCUAAUUUAAAGUUGAAAAGCUUGGCAGAAGUGACACCCUCUUGCAUGUUGUUUCCUCCACUACUUGUGCAGGCUGUAGUUCUAAAAGGAUGUAAUUAAACAUUUUAGAAAUGCUUAAUUCCCUACAGUCUGUUCAAAGCAGUGUGAAAGCCACAUCUUAACAUUGUGCUGCUCCACCUGACUUAGCCUGCUUGCUCACUUUUAAGCCUUCACUUCUGGUAUUAUCUUCAUCUUCUAGCGAUUACAGAAAUUUGCUCUGACCUUCAUAUUCACUGCUCCCUGCUAUCAUUUGCCAGCUGGAAUUGGAACUGGCAUUGGCAAUCCUGCAGUGAUUUUGCCUGAACUAGCUCCAUUAGUUCAGAUCCACGCACCUCGAUACAUGGUCCAGCCACUAGAGGGGACAGAGACUUGCACUGGGGAAACAGAGCUUAAGAUGAGAUUUUGUGCAAUGCAUUACUGACAUGGCUUUGUCUUUCAGAGGAAAACAGGUCAGACAGGAGACUGGAAAGCAAAACCUGAAGGAGACUUUCAGGCCGGCAGUACAACAGCUUGUCAGGAGAGAUCAACAGAUCGUGGUGAGACUUUCGAUGAUGCUUAGAGUGAAGUGAUUUCCAGGAUAGUAAAACAUGAUUGUUAUUGACUUCUUGAUUAUAUGAUUAAUGACUUCUUGAAUAUAUGAUCUGUAAAGCCAUAUCACUGUGUCUUAAAAAACUUAAAUUGAAAAUAGUGGUUAUGUUUGAAGCUAACAAUGCUCUAAUUCAAGUAUGUAAUAGAAAUAUUAAUUAAGAGGUCUUAAUGGGAAGAGGAGAAUGAAAGAGCCAAAAUAAUUUUUAACAUGUAACACAUCAACAGCUGGUUUUGGAGAUGAGGGUCGGGAAAACCAGAAGACAAGAUGGGAAAGAAGGACAUAUUUCUGCCUGUGGUGGGAAAUGAAACCCACAGAUUGCCAAAAGGAAUUGUCAGAGGUGGCUCCUGUAGUCAUCAUUAGCAAUAAAAGCAGAACACAUACAGAUCUAAAACUCUCC
rnacentral:lncRNA from 1 species